rnacentral:rRNA from 1 species
GAUGAACGCUGGCGGCGUGCCUAAUACAUGCAAGUCGAGCGAACGGACGAGAAGCUUGCUUUUCUGAUGUUAGCGGCGGACGGGUGAGUAACACGUGGAUAACCUACCUAUAAGACUGGGAUAACUUCGGGAAACCGGAGCUAAUACCGGAUAAUAUUUUGAACCGCAUGGUUCACAAGUGAAAGACGGUCUUGCUGUCCCUUAUAGAUGGAUCCGCGCUGCAUUAGCUAGUUGGUAAGGUAACGGCUUACCAAGGCAACGAUGCAUAGCCGACCUGAGAGGGUGAUCAGCCACACUGGAACUGAGACACGGUCCAGACUCCUACGGGAGGCAGCAGUAGGGAAUCUUCCGCAAUGGGCGAAAGCCUGACGGAGCAACGCCGCGUGAGUGAUGAAGGUCUUCGGAUCGUAAAACUCUGUUAUUAGGGAAGAACAUAUGUGUAAGUAACUGUGCACAUCUUGACGGUACCUAAUCAGAAAGCCACGGCUAGCUACGUG